rnacentral:rRNA from 1 species
CACACCGCCCGUCACACCAUGGGAGUUGGUUCUAACCUGAAGACGGUGCGCUAGCCGCAAGGAGGCAGCCGGCCACGGUAGGGUCAGCGACUGGGGUG